AAAGAUCCUACUAACUAGGGGAAAAGCAUCCCAAGAUUUGACCUAUUGAUUUUAAAUCACCUUCAUGACCCUGAUGAAAAGGGGAUAACCUUUUAAGAGGCUCAUAUUGGGGAAGGCCACCUUAAGAGCACAAUGAAGUCAACCACUCCAAGAGUCGGUUAGUUUUGGGCAUAUUUUUCAAAGAUUCAAAUACUGGGGAAAUUCAUAUAAAAUUCAUAUCACAACAUGGUGGGAUCCAAGUUCCUUUCCAUGCAACUUGUAACACCCCAAAAUUUG
rnacentral:lncRNA from 1 species